CUUGCAAUUUCCACAGUAAAUAUUUAUAAUACUCAUGUCACGAAAGUGAUGAUGAUUCUGAAAUCUUUGUGGAAUAGACGUUUUGGACUGGGGGGCGGUACCCCACAGCUCCACCAAUUUAUUUCCAUUUCAGAAAAUCAUUGUGGCUGUGGAUAUGCGCCGUUUUCAAGAUGGAAAGUGUAUAAACAUACAUGACCAUCGCAGAAAACCAGCAGAUACCAGCCAGAAUGAUUUUAUUGGGGCUGACAUAGUUUCGACAGGCGCAGUAAAGACAAAAGAUUGAAUCCGACAUGGCGUCGUUAAAAGCCAAUUAAAAACUGAAUGGCGAUAGAAUCGCUGCGAACGACAAUGUUCGCCUUGCAAUGGCUGCCUAAUAUGGCAUCGGAUAUGAUUGGCAAUUGUUGAUUGUAUCCAUUUCGCUUAUUGCGGGGCUGUCGGGUGCCCGGCAACAGAAACCC
rnacentral:tmRNA from 1 species